GACGAACGCUGGCGGCGUGCUUAACACAUGCAAGUCGAACGGAAAGGCCCUGCUUUUGUGGGGUGCUCGAGUGGCGAACGGGUGAGUAACACGUGAGUAACCUGCCCUUGACUUUGGGAUAACUUCAGGAAACUGGGGCUAAUACCGGAUAGGAGCUCCUGCUGCAUGGUGGGGGUUGGAAAGUUUCGGCGGUUGGGGAUGGACUCGCAGCUUAUCAGCUUGUUGGUGGGGUAGUGGCUUACCAAGGCUUUGACGGGUAGCCGGCCUGAGAGGGUGACCGGCGACAUUGGGACUGAGAUACGGCCCAGACUCCUACGGGAGGCAGCAGUGGGGAAUAUUGCAGAAUGGGCGGAAGCCUGAUGCAGCAACGCCGCGUGCGGGAUGACGGGCUUCGGGUUGUAAACCACUUUCGACUGUGACGAAGCGUGAGUGACGGUAAUGGAUAAAGAAGCACCGGCUAACUACGUG
rnacentral:rRNA from 1 species